rnacentral:misc_RNA from 1 species
GAUGAAGAACGCAGCGAAAUGCGAUACGUAAUGUGAAUUGCAGAAUUCAGUGAAUCAUCGAGUCUUUGAACGCACAUUGCGCCCCCUGGUAUUCCGGGGGGCAUGCCUGUCCGAGCGUCAUUGCUGCCCUCAAGCACGGCUUGUGUGUUGGGCCGCGCCGCUGCACCAGCAGCUGGCGGGCCUCAAAAUCAGUGGCGGUGCCGUCUCGGCUCUAAGCGUAGUAACAUCUCUCGCUCUGGAGACCUGGCGGUGGCUUGCCAGACAACCCCCAACUUUCUUUAAGGUUUGACCUCGGAUCAGGUAGGGAUACCCGCUGAACUUAAGCAUAUCAAUAAGCGGAGGA